UACGAAGGGGGCUAGCGUUGUUCGGAGUUACUGGGCGUAAAGGGCGCGUAGGCGGCGCAUCAAGUCAGGCGUGAAAGCCCUGGGCUCAACCCGGGAAUUGCGCUUGAGACUGGUGUGCUUGAGUACGGGAGAGGAUAGUGGAAUUCCCAGUGUAGAGGUGAAAUUCGUAGAUAUUGGGAAGAACACCGGUGGCGAAGGCGGCUAUCUGGACCGUAACUGACGCUGAGGCACGAAAGCGUGGGGAUCAAACAGG
rnacentral:rRNA from 1 species